CAGCAUCUCCCUCAUCACUCUCAAAACCGUCUCCCUCCCCACCACCACUGAUUCGCAUCUCCAUCACUCCCAAACCCUAAUCAACCUUACCCACUUCCCUCAAACAUACACAGAGAAGAAACGGAGAUAGAGUUAGAACAAAUUAUUCUCCCAAAUUCAUUAAGGCCCAAAACAACAAACGGGUUUUCAAGAAAUGUUGAUGGGUUUAAAAAAAAUUGGAAGCUUUUUGAAACCUACAAGUUUGACUGCCACCCAAAAAGUCAAAAUUCAUCUCUGCAAGGCUUAAACCGUCGCUGUGCCGGAUGGCGCCGGUGUUGAACCGCCAAAUUUUUAGGCGUUGAGGUUCUGACCCUAAAAAAGAUUGUAGCUUUAAGGUUGAUGUUAAAGAGCUUGAUUCAAGAGUUCGAGCAGUAACUUAGGCAUAUGCAUUAAAAGAAGAGAAUACGACAGCCGGAGUAAAAGAAGAGAAUACAGCAACUGGGAUACAUUUGGAUAAAGCACAGAUCAAAGGCUCAAUCUUUGUCUUGGGAAUAAUGGUGUAGGUUUGACUUGGAAAGUAGGAAUAUGUAAUGUUUCUAAUUCUCUGACUUUGUAUGUAUUGUGAUGAUGGACUAACAGUUUUGUUGGUCCUUGAUGAAAUAGUAUAUUUGUUGGCCCUUCAAAAAACUUGUAUAAGGCUAUGUGCGUGUGUGAUUAACUGGUUCAUCAUAGACAUCAAAACUAUCACUUAUUCAACUGACUAAAGGUCAACGAACACCCCAAAGUUAACACAUAAGGGAAAUCUCAAAAAAUUGGAAGCUUUUUGACACCUUCUGAUUUGACCGCCACCCAAAAAGUCAUACU
rnacentral:lncRNA from 1 species